rnacentral:tRNA from 1 species
GGCUUGAUAGCUCAACUGGUUGAGCACUGCACUGGUGUCACAAAGAUCAUGGGUUCAAUUCCCUUUCAAGCCU